CGCAUCUGUGCAUGCAGCAUAUCAAUAAGCGGAGGAAAAGAAACUAACAAGGAUUCCCCUAGUAACGGCGAGUGAAGCGGGAAGAGCUCAAAUUUGAAAUCUUAAAGGGUUUCCCUUUACGAAUUGUAGUUUAAAGAAGUGUUUUCUGUUGAGGUUUUGGUAAAAGUUCUUUGGAAUAGGACAUCAUAGAGGGUGAGAAUCCCGUAUUUGACCUUUACUUUCAACUUUGUGAUACACUUUCAAAGAGUCGGAUUGUUUGGGAAUGCAGUCCAAAAUGGGUGGUAAAUUUCAUCUAAAGCUAAAUAUUGGCGAGAGACCGAUAGCGAACAAGUACCGUGAGGGAAAGAUGAAAAGAACUUUGAAAAGAGAGUUAAACAGUACGUGAAAUUGUCAAAAGGGAAGCGUUUGACACCAGUGUUGUUUUUCUGAAAAUCAAUUAAAGAACUGUUUAUGCUAAGUUGUUUAGACUUUAUCAGCUAACUGUUUAGUUUUGAGCUUUUCUUUAAUGCACUUUUCAGUUAACAAGUCAACAUCAAUUUCUUUUGCUGUAAAAAAGCUUGAGGAAGGUGGCUUGAGAUUCGUCUUAAGUGUUUAUAGCCUCUUGCCUAUGCAGUCGGAGAGAUUGAGGUCUGCAGCGUAGAUCCUUCGGGGCUAAAUGCAUUUGUGCUAAGUUAUAGUAUUUUAUAGACAACUUGUUGACUAUGAUUUGUCUUGUAGCUUACUCGCUUAUGUUAUUUUACCUACGCUUAGGAUGUUGACAGCAGUAUAGACUGU
rnacentral:rRNA from 1 species